UAAUGCUUAGGAAUCUGCCCAGUAGUGGGGGAUAGCCCGGGGAAACCCGGAUUAAUACCGCAUACGUCCUACGGGAGAAAGCAGGGGAUCUUCGGACCUUGCGCUAUUGGAUGAGCCUAAGUCGGAUUAGCUAGUUGGUGGGGUAAAGGCCUACCAAGGCGACGAUCCGUAGCUGGUCUGAGAGGAUGAUCAGCCACAUCGGGACUGAGACACGGCCCGAACUCCUACGGGAGGCAGCAGUGGGGAAUAUUGGACAAUGGGGGCAACCCUGAUCCAGCCAUGCCGCGUGUGUGAAGAAGGCUUUCGGGUUGUAAAGCACUUUCAGUAGGGAGGAAAACCUUAUGGCUAAUACCCAUGAGGCUUGACGUUACCUACAGAAGAAGCACCGGCUAACUCCGUGCCAGCAGCCGCGGUAAUACGGAGGGUGCAAGCGUUAAUCGGAAUUACUGGGCGUAAAGCGCGCGUAGGUGGUUUGGUAAGCGAGAUGUGAAAGCCCCGGGCUUAACCUGGGAACGGCAUUUCGAACUGUCAGACUAGAGUGUGGUAGAGGGUAGUGGAAU
rnacentral:rRNA from 1 species